GGGGACUUAGCUCAGUGGUAGAGCGCUUGCCUAGCAAGCGCAAGGCCCUGGGUUCGGUCCCCAGCUCCA
rfam:Rattus norvegicus chromosome 20, whole genome shotgun sequence.